rnacentral:lncRNA from 1 species
CUGGUUCGCUAUUCAAUUGCUUCUCAAAACUCAAAACUUCAGCAACACCUAAAGCAUUAAAUUCGGCAGCAGUAGGCGCGAAAAUUUUCCGCCCAGAAGGAAGACCUCAACUAAAGAAACAAAGCAUUAGAACCAUAGCAAAUUUUGAGCCAGAAUAACCACAAAGUACAGCUAAAUAGUGCAAGAGCACUCAAUUCAACGAAGCGAACAUUUUAGAAGUAAAGACCAGAUUUCAAACUAUCACUGCUAAACUCGCGCACAAAUCUCAACGGACACAAAUUUUCGGCAGAGUAAGCUUACUGUAUGCUCAACCAAAUCACAAUUCAAGCUGCUCAAUCUCUAGUCCAACUGAAUCCCCUCUAUUAAACUCAACAAUAACAACAACUAUUAGAAACAAGUGGUAACAAGUUCGAACUAGGAGAAUUUCAGCUAUCAAUUUACUCUAAAAACUUCACAAAAGUGGCAAACUUCAACAAGACAAGCUUCAGAACUUCAUAGUCUUAGCACAAAAAUAAUUAGUGUUCAAUGCAGGAUUUUCUUUCAAACACUGGCCCACGAACCAUUCAUAUAUUGAAUUAAAAUCACAAAACAAUGCUCCAACAAACAAAGACUGAUCUCAUUAGAACUUUCAUCAGCAUAAAAGGAGUUUGACUAGAGAAUUCCAACUUGAACUCUAAAAAUUUCAAUAAUAGAGUCCAUUGACACAACUCAACUCACGCAAUUUCCAACAAACAACUUUGAAUUCUAAAACUAACCUAUAUGGCUAAAAGUGGCUAGAAGUGCAAAAUUUGGCUAUGACCCUGCAAAGCCAAGAACCUAAGAUUUACUAGGAAGACCGGACCCUAUGUGGGUUGCCUACGUAUUGCGCC